CGAGCCUGCCAGGAUUCAAACCUGGAAUCUUCUGAUCCGUAGUCAGACGCAUUAUCCGUUGUGCCACAGGCCA
rnacentral:tRNA from 1 species